CGAGGGGCAGCAGGUCCCGCAGCAAUGCGGGAUGCUGGCGACCGGCAAACGGGUGCGGAACACGUACACAACCUUCCUUUAAGCGGGGAAUAGCCCGGGGAAACCCGGAUUAAUACCCCAUAGUAUAUUGAAAAGGCAUCUUUUUAAUAUUAAAGAUUUAUCACUUGAAGAUGGGUGUGCGGCUGAUUAGGUAGUUGGCGGGGUAACGGCCCACCAAGCCUACGAUCAGUAACUGGUGUGAGAGCACGACCAGUCACACGGGCACUGAGACACGGGCCCGACUCCUACGGGAGGCAGCAGUAAGGAAUAUUGGUCAAUGGACGAAAGUCUGAACCAGCCAUGCCGCGUGGAGGAUGAAGGUCCUCUGGAUUGUAAACUUCUUUUAUAUGGGACGAAAAAAGGCUUUUCUAAGUCGUCUGACGGUACCAUAUGAAUAAGCACCGGCUAACUCCGUGCCAGCAGCCGCGGUAAUACGGAGGGUGCAAGCGUUAUCCGGAUUCACUGGGUUUAAAGGGUGCGUAGGUGGGUUGGUAAGUCAGUGGUGAAAUCCCCGAGCUUAACUUGGGAACUGCCAUUGAUACUAUCAGUCUUGAAUGACCGUGGAGGUCAGCGGAAUAUGUCAUGUAGCGGUGAAAUGCUUAGAUAUGACAUAGAACACCAAUUGCGAAGGCAGCUGGCUACACGAAUAUUGACACUGAGGCACGAAAGCGUGGGGAUCAAACAGGAUUAGAUACCCUGGUAGUCCACGCCCUAAACUAUGGAUACUCGACAUACGCGAUACACUGUGUGUGUCUGAGCGAAAGCAUUAAGU
rnacentral:rRNA from 1 species